UACGGAGGGUGCAAGCGUUAUCCGGAUUCACUGGGUUUAAAGGGUGCGUAGGCGGGCAAUUAAGUCCGUGGUGAAAUACCUGAGCUUAACUUGGGAACUGCCAUGGAUACUAUUUGUCUUGAAUGUCGUGGAGGUUAGCGGAAUAUGUCAUGUAGCGGUGAAAUGCUUAGAUAUGACAUAGAACACCUAUUGCGAAGGCAGCUAACUACGCGAAUAUUGACGCUGAGGCACGAAAGCGUGGGGAUCAAACAGG
rnacentral:rRNA from 3 species